rnacentral:rRNA from 1 species
UGAACGCUGGCGGCGUGCCUCAUACAUGCAAGUCGAGCGAACGGACGAGAAGCUUGCUUUUCUGAUGUUAGCGGCGGACGGGUGAGUAACACGUGGAUAACCUACCUAUAAGACUGGGAUAACUUCGGGAAACCGGAGCUAAUACCGGAUAAUAUUUUGAACCGCAUGGUUCAAAAGUGAAAGACGGUCUUGCUGUCACUUAUAGAUGGAUCCGCGCUGCAUUAGCUAGUUGGUAAGGUAACGGCUUACCAAGGCAACGAUGCAUAGCCGACCUGAGAGGGUGAUCGGCCACACUGGAACUGAGACACGGUCCAGACUCCUACGGGAGGCAGCAGUAGGGAAUCUUCCGCAAUGGGCGAAAGCCUGACGGAGCAACGCCGCGUGAGUGAUGAAGGUCUUCGGAUCGUAAAACUCUGUUAUUAGGGAAGAACAUAUGUGUAAGUAACUGUGCACAUCUUGACGGUACCUAAUCAGAAAGCCACGGCUAACUACGUG